CCAGAGCCGGGCGGGAGGGGGUCCCUGAGGGUGGGGGCACCCUCAGGGCACUAUAGUGCCAGGAAAAUGAGUAUGUUUUCCUGGCACUAUAGUGGUCCUUUAAGGGACCACGAAACACUGGACUGUGGAUACAUAUUUUUUUUGUAUUUUGGCAACAAUACCAAAGAUACGGUUAUAUACCUUGAUAGUCUAUAUCCACCACUGUGAGGGUUGAAAAUAGACUUUGUACUUAAGUACACAAGCACUUUUUAUGUUAUUCCCCUUUUUGACAACAUUUAGGGGUAGACUUUUCAGCGCUGACACUUUCUUUUCCAUAUCUUAUUUCCAGCACCAGCAGGCGCUGGCUCUAUCCUGACCCACCUCCUUGCUGGCAUCAUCAAAAUUUAGGAUUACAGCCAAACAAAUGUUCCAUAGAGAUAGCAUUCGAUUGGCUGAAAUAGGCAAUGAGGCAGAACGUGGGCAGGGCCAAGUGCCAUCUUGGUCAAUCGGCACCUCCUCAUAAAGAUGCAUUGAAUCAAUGCAUCUCUGUGAGGAAACUUAACGUCUCAAGUUCCACUAUGUACACUGUGCAGCACUGCCCCAGAAAGUACCUCCAGUGGCCAUUUGGAGGUGUCCCUAGCGGGCAAUGUAAACACUGCUUUUUCUAUGAAAAGGCAGUGUUUACAUGAAAAUACCUGCAGGGAAUGAUUAUACUCACCAGAACUACAUUAAACUGUGAGGUUUUGCCUUGAUGCGGCAGGUGAUCUUACACUUUAAUGGCC